rnacentral:rRNA from 1 species
UACAGAGGUCCCAAGCGUUGUUCGGAUUCAUUGGGCGUAAAGGGUGCGUAGGCGGUGAAGUAAGUCUGGUGUGAAAUCCCGGGGCUCAACCCCGGAACUGCACUGGAUACUGCUUUACUAGAGUACUGGAGAGGGAACUGGAAUUUACGGUGUAGCAGUGAAAUGCGUAGAUAUCGUAAGGAAGACCAGUGGCGAAGGCGAGUUCCUGGACAGUUACUG